CCACCGGUGCGGGCGCGGCUACACAUGCAGUCUGAGCGCUGAAGGUUGGUACUUGUACCAACUGGAUGAGCAGCGAACGGGUGAGUAACGCGUGGGGAAUCUGCCUUUGAGCGGGGGACAACAUUUGGAAACGAAUGCUAAUACCGCAUAAAAACUUUAAACACAAGUUUUAAGUUUGAAAGAUGCAAUUGCAUCACUCAAAGAUGAUCCCGCGUUGUAUUAGCUAGUUGGUGAGGUAAAGGCUCACCAAGGCGAUGAUACAUAGCCGACCUGAGAGGGUGAUCGGCCACAUUGGGACUGAGACACGGCCCAAACUCCUACGGGAGGCAGCAGUAGGGAAUCUUCGGCAAUGGACGAAAGUCUGACCGAGCAACGCCGCGUGAGUGAAGAAGGUUUUCGGAUCGUAAAACUCUGUUGGUAGAGAAGAACGUUGGUGAGAGUGGAAAGCUCAUCAAGUGACGGUAACUACCCAGAAAGGGACGGCUAACUACGUGCCAGCAGCCGCGGUAAUACGUAGGUCCCGAGCGUUGUCCGGAUUUAUUGGGCGUAAAGCGAGCGCAGGUGGUUUAUUAAGUCUGGUGUAAAAGGCAGUGGCUCAACCAUUGUAUGCAUUGGAAACUGGUAGACUUGAGUGCAGGAGAGGAGAGUGGAAUUCCAUGUGUAGCGGUGAAAUGCGUAGAUAUAUGGAGGAACACCGGUGGCGAAAGCGGCUCUCUGGCCUGUAACUGACACUGAGGCUCGAAAGCGUGGGGAGCAAACAGGAUUAGAUACCCUGGUAGUCCACGCCGUAAACGAUGAGUGCUAGAUGUAGGGAGCUAUAAGUUCUCUGUAUCGCAGCUAACGCAAUAAGCACUCCGCCUGGGGGAGUACGACCGCAAGGUUGAAACUCAAAGGAAUUGACGGGGGCCCGCACAAGCGGUGGAGCAUGUGGUUUAAUUCGAAGCAACGCGAAGAACCCUUACCAGGUCUUGACAUACUCGUGCUAUUCCUAGAAGAUAGGAAGUUCCUUCGGGACACGGGAUACAGUGCUGCAUGGUUGUCGUCAGCUCGUGUCGUGAGAUUGUUUGGGUUUAAGUCCCGCACCGAGCGCACCCCUAUGUAGUUGCAUCAAUAGUGGGCACUCUACGAGACUGCGUGAUAAACGGGAGGAAGGGUGGGG
rnacentral:rRNA from 1 species